GGUUGGUAAACAGCAUUGACGAGGCUGGGAGUUAUAAUCCAACUGUAAACAAUGUUUCAAGUUACGAAAAAAGGAGUUCCUUGAAUCGGAAAAAAUGCAAAAGGUAAAUGCAGAAUUUUUACCAAAACAGAAAAUGGAUAGAAAAUAAGCAGAUUCGAAGAUGCUGAUUUUAUGGUAUGGAAUGCUCACCCAAAGCUGCAGUUGCAUUAUACAAUAGGAUAUUCACAAUUGAAGACAUUAUCACAGCAUAAGCGCCGAAGUUAAGACCAGACAAGUAGUAAAUC